rnacentral:rRNA from 1 species
UACGUAGGGGGCAAGCGUUGUCCGGAAUUAUUGGGCGUAAAGAGCGUGUAGGCGGUCCGGUAAGUCAGCUGUGAAAGUCAAGGGCUCAACCCUUGAAUGCCGGUUGAUACUGUCGGGCUAGAGUCCGGAAGAGGCGAGUGGAAUUCCCGGUGUAGCGGUGAAAUGCGCAGAUAUCGGGAGGAACACCGGUGGCGAAGGCGGCACCCUGGACCAACACUGACACUGAUGAGCGAAAGCCAGGGGAGCAAACGGG